GACGAACGCUGGCGGCGUGCUUAACACAUGCAAGUCGAACGAGAAUUGAUCUUUAGUUUACUAGAGAUCAAGGAAAGUGGCGAAACGGGUGAGUAACGCGUAGGUAACCAACCUUACACAGGGGGAUAGCCCCGGGAAACUGGGAGUAAUACCGCAUAAGACCACAGCAUCGCAUGGUGCAGUGGUAAAAAACCACGGUGGUGUAAGACGGACCUGCGUCCCAUUAGUUAGUUGGUGAGGUAACGGCUCACCAAGACCGCGAUGGGUAGCCGACCUGAGAGGGUGAUCGGCCACAUUGGGACUGAGACACGGCCCCAGACUCCUACGGGAGGCAGCAGUGGGGAAUAUUGCGCAAAUGGAGGAAACUCUGACGCAGCAACGCCG
rnacentral:rRNA from 1 species